rnacentral:rRNA from 1 species
AGAGUUUGAUCCUGGCUCAGGACGAACGCUGGCGGCGUGCCUAACACAUGCAAGUCGAGCGAUGAAACCCUUCGGGGUGGAUUAGCGGCGGACGGGUGAGUAUCACGUGGGUAACCUGCCUCAAAGAGGGGGAUAGCCUCCCGAAAGGGAGAUUAAUACCGCAUAACAUUAGUUUUUCGCAUGAAGAACUAAUUAAAGGAGUAAUCCGCUUUGAGAUGGACCCGCGGCGCAUUAGCUAGUUGGUGAGGUAAUAGCUCACCAGGGCGACGAUGCGUAGCCGACCUGAGAGGGUGAUCGGCCACAUUGGAACUGAGACACGGUCCAGACUCCUACGGGAGGCAGCAGUGGGGAAUAUUGCACAAUGGGCGAAAGCCUGAUGCAGCAACGCCGCGUGAGUGAUGAAGGCCUUCGGGUUGUAAAGCUCUGUCUUUUGGGACGAUAAUGACGGUACCAAAGGAGGAAGCCACGGCUAACUACGUGCCAGCAGCCGCGGUAAUACGUAGGUGGCGAGCGUUGUCCGGAUUUACUGGGCGUAAAGGAUGCGUAGGCGGAUAUUUAAGUGAGAUGUGAAAUACCCGAGCUUAACUUGGGUGCUGCAUUUCAAACUGGAUAUCUAGAGUGUGGGAGAGGAGAAUGGAAUUCCUAGUGUAGCGGUGAAAUGCGUAGAGAUUAGGAAGAACACCAGUGGCGAAGGCGAUUCUCUGGACCAUAACUGACGCUGAGGCAUGAAAGCGUGGGUAGCAAACAGGAUUAGAUACCCUGGUAGUCCACGCCGUAAACGAUGAGUACUAGGUGUAGGA